rnacentral:tRNA from 1 species
GCCCCCGUAGCUCAGGAGGAUAGAGCAACGGAUUCCUAAUCCGUGUGCCGGGCGUUCGAGUCGCCCCGGGGGUA